rnacentral:miRNA from 1 species
GAAAGUACAGAUCGGAUGGGU